GAUGAACGCUGGCGGCGUGCCUAAUACAUGCAAGUCGAGCGAACAGACGAGGAGCUUGCUCCUCUGACGUUAGCGGCGGACGGGUGAGUAACACGUGGAUAACCUACCUAUAAGACUGGGAUAACUUCGGAAAACCGGAGCUAAUACCGGAUAAUAUAUUGAACGGCAUGGUUCAAUAGUGAAAGCCGGUUUUCCCGUCACUUUUAGAUGGUUCCGCGCCGCAUAAGCUAGUUGGUAAGGUAACGGCUUACCAAGGGAACGAUGCGUAGCCGACCGGAUGGGGGGAUCGGCCACACUGGAACUAGGAAACGGUCAAGACUCCAAGGGAAGGCAGAGUGGGGAAUUCUUCAGAAAGGGGGGAAAGCCUGACGGAGCAACGCCGGGUGAGGAAUGAAGGUCUUCGGUUCGUAAAACUCUGUUAUGAGGGAAGAACAAAUGUGUAAGUAACUAUGCACGUCUUGAGGGUACCAAAGAAGAAAGCCACGGCAAAUUACGG
rnacentral:rRNA from 1 species